ACGUCUUCCGGAGGAUAUAAAUUCAGGAUGUGUUCUGAGAGGAACACCCACAACUCGAGCUUGCGCCAUGUCUUCACUUCUUUCGCUGAUCGUGGACAAGGUCGUGGAAGUCCGAGAGUGGGUGCAGGCUAAAUUUCUCACACAGAAGCAGGAAGAAGCCAGAGAGGGUUCACUUGUUUCGCUGAUCAUGGACAAGGUCAUGAAAGUCCCAGAGCAGGUGGGGGCUGAAUUUCUCGCACAGAAGGUUUCAACCUGCACCACUGUACAGAGGCUGGAUUUUGGCAACAAAUUGGGCGAUUGGUGUGGGGUUGACUUAGGGGCAGCCCCACGGGGGUCCCCUGGCUUGAUCAGACUCUCCGAGGUCAUUCCUCCACGCCAGGCUCUUUUGAGAAGGCAGAGGGUUGGAAGAUUCCUUCAGAGGCCAGGUGGUCUGGGACCCUUGUCAAGAAGGCUGAGCUCGUCAUACCAGGUACUGCAUCUAGGCAGUGGGGGCUCUGAGUCAGAAGUGGAGGGUGAAGGAGGACCACCCUAG
ensembl:lncRNA